UACGGGGGGAGCAAACGUUGUUCGGAAUCACUGGGCGUAAAGGGCGUGUAGGCGGCUGGAUAAGUGGGAUGUUAAAUCCCCCGGCUCAACCGGGGACCUGCAUCUCAUACUGUUCAGCUCGAGCACAUCAGAGGAGACUGGAAUUCCCGGUGUAGCGGUGAAAUGCGCAGAUAUCAGGAGGAACACCGGUGGCGAAGGCGGGUCUCUGGGCAACUACUGACGCUGAGGAGCGAAAGCGUGGGGAGCGAACAGG
rnacentral:rRNA from 1 species